CACUUGAUUGCUUCCCACCAUAGAAGCCACUACAAAGUACGGGGGGUGAAAUACACUAAAAAUUCAGGGUGAUGUCAUGGACAUAUGAAAACGCAGCGCGAGGAAAUAGGAGCUUGGCUCCGCUACGGGACCGCCAGAGGGAAGAGGAUCAUGGGAAUUAUAGAAGCGGAAUAUGAAACCAGGUUCUGCUCUUUGGAGCUGUUCACGCAACUGGACUUUUGCUGGGAAGCAUGGGUGUCUUCUGAUAGAGGGUCAUUCUGCUAGGGUGUGUCAGAGACCCCGAAGAAGAUGACCCCACAGGUGACCCCAACAGCUGUGUUCACGGGCCAAUCAGGGAUCAAUUUGAUGUCUGGGUGGGGCUUCUGUAUGUCACUUAUUUGUAUAUGAAUCAAUUAAAAAUGUAAUUGUAAAGUUUAAUGUGUUAGGAAAAGUUUUAAAAUUUUGUGUCAUGAAGGGUUGGCGCCCCGUCCUGGGUUGUUCCCUGCCUUGCAGCGUAGCUUCUGGUAUAGUCUCCAGACCUCCUGCAACCCUGAAUAGGACAAGCGGUUAUUGAAAAUGGAUGGAUGGAUUCUGUGGCAUUUUAGUGUUACCUGGAUUAACUAGACUUUCUAUGCUGCCACCUAUAAACCAUAUAUUUGUGUUUUAUUUUAAAAGUAGGGUUUUUUUUUUCGGAGGCUACAGGCUCUCAACCACAGAAUCUUGGGCAAAGGUUUAGACACCAAAUUUAUAUAUGAAAAGUAAAUUUCCAAAACUCAGUCAGUCCACGGGAAAAUAUCUGUGUGCUUAAUGAGUUUUGAAAAUUGAAUGAAAGUUCUUCAUUGGAUUACAUGAGGACUAAGUGAGUUUUGGUUCCCAAAACUGUAACAAAUGAUGAGGAAGCCUGACAUUAGGUUAUUGGUGGUUUCGUCUGAACAGCAAUGAAAAACAGACUGAGCAAGUUUUGGCACUUCAGCAGCAUAUGUAGCUCAAAAGUAGAGCAUUGCACUAGCCAUGCAAAAGUCAUAGGUUCACAUCCCAUGGUGCCCACAUAAACUGUAAUUGCUGUAGUCCCUUUGCAUAAGAA